rnacentral:lncRNA from 1 species
ACACGCGAAAACAACAAAACAAAAAAAAGGUGAACACACACGACAAAAAAAAAACAAAAAAAAGGGUGAACACACACGAUAACAACAAAAGAAAAAAAGGGUGCCCGGAGAGAUUGUCCUCAACCUCCUGCCUACGUAUCUCAUCUGGUAUGAGAAUCAGGGCGACGUAGUUCCCCUUACCAGGGGUAAAACACUCUCCUAACCAGAGACCAGGGAAACAACAAACUAAUAGGGUAAUCAGGGCGACGUAGUUCCCCUUACCAGGGGUAAAACACUCUCCUAACCAGAGACCAGGGAAACAACAAACUAAUAGGGAGACUAAGGCUCGAGCCUAAUAGUUGUCAUGCAAUCAAUAUCCCUAAGUUGAGGUCUCUAACAAGUGAA